rnacentral:rRNA from 1 species
AUUGAACGCUGGCGGCAUGCCUUACACAUGCAAGUCGAACGGCAGCACGGGUGCUUGCACCUGGUGGCGAGUGGCGAACGGGUGAGUAAUAUAUCGGAACGUACCUUAUUGUGGGGGAUAGCGCAGCGAAAGCUGUGCUAAUACCGCAUAAUCCCUAAGGGGGAAAGCGGGGGACCGUAAGGCCUCGCGCAAUUAGAGCGGCCGAUACCUGAUUAGCUAGUUGGUGAGGUAAAGGCUCACCAAGGCAACGAUCAGUAGCUGGUCUGAGAGGACGAUCAGCCACACUGGGACUGAGACACGGCCCAGACUCCUACGGGAGGCAGCAGUGGGGAAUUUUGGACAAUGGGGGCAACCCUGAUCCAGCAAUGCCGCGUGAGAGAAGAAGGCCUUCGGGUUGUAAAGCUCUUUUGUCAGGGAAGAAACAGCAGCUCUAACACAGUUUGCGAAUGACGGUACCUGAAGAAUAAGCACCGGCUAACUACGUGCCAGCAGCCGCCGUAA